GUGCUCACUUCAGCAGCUUAUACACUAAAAUUGGAACGAUACAAAGAAGAUUAGCAUAGCCCCUGCAUACGUAUGGCAUGCAACUUAUCUUCACUGUCUAGCCUUUG